rnacentral:rRNA from 1 species
UACGUAGGGUGCGAGCGUUGCCCGGAUUUAUUGGGCGUAAAGGGCGCGUAGGCGGAUCUUUAAGUCGGGGGUGAAAGCCUGAGGCUCAACCUCAGAAUUGCCUCGAUACUGGAGAUCUUGAGACCGGAAGAGGGUCGCGGAAUUCCCAGUGUAGAGGUGAAAUUCGUAGAUAUUGGGAAGAACACCGGUGGCGAAGGCGGCGACCUGUCCGUUACUGACGCUGAGGCGCGACAGCGUGGGGAGCAAACAGG